UCCAGGCCCCUCACGGGGGCGGGAACUUCAUGGUGGAAUUCCUAUCUUGCUUUCUUGGGAACCAUUUCCCGGGGCUGUGGUGUCCUGGCCAAUGCCCGUGGAAUCGUCGCUUGCGAACUGUACGGCUCCGGCUUACACUUCCUUCUCCCUCAGAAGACAGUCGCAGCGAUACUCGAAUCAACAGGUACUGCUGGUGUUAGUUUUGCGAAAUUGAGCCAGUAGGUGGCUGUGGCUGCGGCCGUUAUUACUUCUAGUGAUGUGGUGAUGUGACGUCACAGAGUUUGCCUUUCCUUUUUUUUUAUAAGAACGGAGUGCAGAAGUCACUUUCUUAUUUAUUCUCUGUUGAUGAUCAACUUGAUACUAUUAUUAUUAUUUCUCGCUAAUUUGGGUGUUUUGUAAACAAGAGAGGUGAAUGUGAAUCUCUCUCUUAUUUUCUAUUUUUGUUUGAUAAAUUUUUUGCUUACUCAUUCAUCACACGUCUUGAUACGUGAUCCAAUUUCCAUUGAUGAAUGAAACUUCUUUUUAGGUGGUCAGGGGGUGGCAAAUGCAUCGCCUUUUAUUUUAUUUUAACCUGUAAUUCUGUUUUCCAC
rnacentral:sRNA from 1 species